AUAAAGACAAGUGAAAUACAGAAACGAAAAGAUCAACGUAGUAUACGACGUAAAAAUCAGUCAAUCUGAUUAUCAAGCCUGCACAGUUUCAGUUCACAUUUAUAACUCCUCCGUUCGAUUAAAUAGAAAAAGUAUAAAAGCUAGUCGUCAAGUGGAAAGCAAGGAUACAGAAUGGCGGAUACAGCACAGUUUAUUCACGACCGUUUCCAACGUUUUAUGAACGGCAUCGGCGAGCGCUAUGAACCCUUCAUCCGUCAGCACCUCUCCAAGGUGUAUAUGGUGCUGGCUAGCACCACCGCUGCUUCGGCAAUAGGAGCCUUACUUCAGAUGCGUGGAACUAUUGAUUUGGGUAUACUAGCGGCUAUUGCUUCACUGGUACUGGUCCUGGGUCUGCACUUUUAUAAGGACGAUGGCAAGAACUAUUACACACGCUUGGGAAUGCUAUAUGCCUUUGGCUUUUGUUCGGGACAAACACUGGGUCCCCUAUUGGACUACAUAUGCAGCAUCAAUCCGGCAAUUAUACUAACUGCACUCACCGGGACCUUUGUCACCUUUGGUUCAUUGUCGCUCGCCGCUUUGCUUGCCGAACAGGGCAAGUAUUUGUAUCUGGGCGGCAUGUUGGUUAGCGUUAUAAACUGCAUGGCUUUGCUCAGUCUCUUCAACAUGAUCUUUAAAUCGUACUUUGUCCAAAUUACUCAAUUGUACGUUGGCGUCUUUGUUAUGGCCGCCUUCAUAGUGUACGACACCCAAAAUAUUGUGGAUAAGUGUCGCAUGGGCAACCGCGAUGUGGUCCAACAUGCAUUAGACCUUUUCUUUGAUGUUUUGAGCAUGUUCCGCCGUUUGUUGAUUAUUUUGACCCAAAAGCUCAAGAGCUUUAUGGUAUGAUAGUUCGCAAAUCAAGCAAACAAUGAAUAACCUUGAACUGACCACUUAUAGCAAUCAAUAUCUUUAAUGAACAUUUAAUCGUAACGGAGGAGCAAAAACAGAAUGAUCGUCGCAAGCGUAAGCAAUAAGGAGGACGUCCUUCUCUCAAUACAAAUUAAUUAUGUUGGGCACUAUUUUAAAUUUCAAAAGAACAGCCGUGUUAAUAUUUUGGCUUUAUAUUAAAACUCACACUUAAAACAAGGAAUGUACAAAAAUUACAACAUUUGGUACACAUGAAAACCAUGCAAAUCCCGACCUAAAUACCAUCUAAUAAAAUUCAAUUCAUUCAAUCGACUACACAAACAAA